AGGUCCAGCCUGCCCAGUGACAAAUUCAACGGCCGCGGUACCCUAACCGUGCAAAGGUAGCAUAAUCACUUGUUCUCUAAAUAGGGACUUGUAUCAACGGCAUCACGAGGGUUGUACUGUCUCCCCCCUCCAAUCGGUGAAACUGAUCUCCCCAUGAAAAAGUGGGGAUAAACUCAUAAGACGAGAAGACCCCAUGGAGCUUUAAGACCUACAGCAACCUAGCAAAAACACUUCUAUUUAGCUAUAAAAUUAUGCUUGUGGGCUUUAGGUUGGGAGGACCGCGGAGUACAAAACAACCUCCGUAAUGAAAAGAAUAAAAUCUUUAUCAAAGAACCACAACUCUAAGAAUUAGAAAACUAACGUACAUGACCCGAUAUCGAUCAAUGAACUAAGUUACCCUGGGGAUAACAGCGCAAUCCACUCUGAGAGUUCAUAUCGACGAGGGGGCUUACGACCUCGAUGUUGGAUCAGGGUAUCCUGGUGGUGCAGCCGCUACCAAAGGUUCGUUUGUUCAACGAUUAAAACCCU
rnacentral:rRNA from 1 species